AGCCGGCUUCUCUCGGGGAGGGAGGGCAGAGCCGGGCGAGGAAGUUGGGCGGUGGCGGUCGCCUUGGGGCGACCGGGUCCCUGCUCUGCCCGGCACGGCCGGGAGGCCCGACGGUGGCAGCUGCCGCGGGUCCCACAAGUUGUUUUCCUCGUGGCGACCAUUCAGCAAAACGCACGAUCCUUUCUCAAAGAUUUAAAUUUCGCGGAUGAAUUACCAUACACCGGUUGCUUAGCAACUAAAUUCAAGCAGGGCUAAGAAUAUGCAAGCUUUUUGUAUUCUCAUUAAUAAAAAUGCCACUCUGACACAGCAACCCGACUUUGGAUCACUGCAACUUCUGUAAAAGCCGUAGGAGAAUACAAACCGAUCCUGCCAUUUAAUUACAGAUCAAAAUGGCUUGAAACGCGAUGUUUUGUUCAUCUAUCUUCCUAAAAGCGAUGUAAAAAAUAACGGCUUUCAAGAGCAGUAGUAAAUUUUCUUCUCCUUCUUCUUUUUUUUUUUUUAAUGGAGCUGUCUAUCGGGAUUACUGAUAAUUGUCAACUGAAACCUUUUUGAAGCACAGGUUGAAAUAUCCCUUUUCAUCAACAUUUCUGCUCUUUCCCCCCAAACCCCCUCACCCUCUGAUCCUGUUCUCCUUCUUCACCCAAUAACUGUUGUUGUUGUUAUUGUUGUUGUUGUUGUUGUUGUUGUUAUGGAAAUGUCAAGGCCUUGGGAGCCCUAGGGUCUAAAAAGCAGUUAGGAGAGUAAUGGACAAGCCCAGUGGCUGGAGAAAUAGCAAAGGAAACUUCAGAAAGUUUCCUUGCAAGUUUGGGGCAGUUGCUGAAGGCCGAAGUAGCUCAAGUUCCAAGGAUUUGGCCAGAACUCUUGAAGGGGAGGCUUUUGUGGGGAGUAAGGUAAGAAAACCCUGAGGCCCUCCGCUCCAUAUCUGCAGAUUUUCCGUUCUGGAGUGGUGUCGCUUCUCUGCGGAAAAUAGUCGCGGCCUCCCGCUCUGCCGACCCUGGAGUUCAGAGGGGCUGUGUUCACAGGGCCGGGCUGACCCUGCCUGUCUGAGAAAUCUUUUUUUCCGGUUGCUCUGGAGCCCUCGAACUGUGGACAAAGUAAAGAUGGAGCUCGACUCGUGACCCUUUGGGUCUUCAAAGAGUGGCCCAGCCCAGGGACCAGAGCCUGAGAUUUAUUUAUGUGAGGGACUGACUUUGCGCCUCUUGUCCAAGGAUGCUGCAUGUGCCAGGUGAUGCGCUGACUCAGAAAAAGCUUCCAGUCUGCACGCCUCUGCUCCUGUCCGAGUUGGGGUGGGGGUGGGGGUGCCGAAGGGGUCAAAACCGAAUGGCCUCUUGUGCAGAAAGGUCGCAUUGUGUGAGAGUGUACUGCAGUCUAAGCAGCUGGGACGGCAGCGCAGGGAUAAGACGGGAGGCAUCUGAAGGCUUUUGUGGAAGCUAAGGGCUGCCAGGCCCUGCACUGCCCUCGGCCGGCCAUGGAAUUCAAGGAAUAGCCCUGGGCUCUGGGUUCAGGCUCAGCUUCCCGCCGGUGGGAAACUCUGUGCCACACCAAGGUAGGCUGCUUGUUCUCUGAUCAGGGCUUGGACACUCCCCUUGCCCCGCUUCCCUGCCCGGGGACUGUGGGCCCCAGACCUGCAGGGCGAUACUGAGACGCCCUGUGCGGGCUCUGGUGGCAAGGUCAGGCAGAGAUGCCAAUCCGCUGGUCUGUGCCCAAUGCAAGGGCCAAUGAGAUCGCUGGCCGGUUUCUCUUCUAAAGCUGUAAAAACAGGCCGUCGUUAGCUUUAGAAAGAUCCAGGGGCAAAAGUGAAACCCUACAUUGAUUCUGCUAACAUUCCCAGAGAGCCAACCCCCAGUCCAACAACCUUUGUAAAGGGGAAACUUUAGAAAUGACAUGUCUCCGGGUCAUCCUGGACACUUAGGAAUAAGAAACCGCACAACUGACUCAGUUGAGUCCGGCAUCUUUCUAUUGAGUACAAAAAUAAUAACAAUGGAAUUGAAACAAGCCUUAAGUUGAAGUAUUUGUUGUAUUAGGCUGUGCUCCGAGUUCCUUUGCCAGCAAAACAUGCACAGUAAACAGGAAACCAUUUAUUUACAAAUACAAUUGCCCUAGACAAGCCACAUUCCAUGUAUGUAAUUCAUUAAUAGAACUUUUCCUUUCUUCCUCCCCUUUGGAAAGCUCCAAAAUAGCUGGAGCUUGGGGGAAGGGAAGGAGAGUGGUUAUCCUACCUGUUUCUUGAAAAAGAAGCUAAACUACCUGGCCAGUUCCUGUCUGUGAUAUUCCACACUGUAAGCUAAUCAAAAUAUAUGCUGAUAGUUUUGUUUUCUUUUUGACUCUUCAGAAAAGAAGUUUGUUGCUUGUGGUUGCUGACAUCAGAGUUGCCCAGUAGAAAGGAGCUAGUAAUGUGGCCCUAGUUGGACAAGAGGUGUUUUGAUGAAGAGCUUCCUGAGAGAUCACACUGUAGUUCUGCCCUGGGGACUGCCUCUCAGCAGAAGGUAAGCCCAUUUAAUCGGCUGGAACAGUCAGUGCACACUGAAAUAGAAUAGAGAUUCAUUUCAAAGCCUUUGUGUGUGUGUGUGUGUGCCAGUACUGAAAUAAAAGGUGUCACAACCCACCACCCUCAGUGCCUAGGUUCAGAUAGGACAAUGUCAAGGUGCAGUAAGGGCUAGGCAGGUUGGUUCCAAACUGCUACUCUAAGGAUCACAGAGGGAGGGAGUCUAUUUUGCAUUUAUAUCUCCAAGGUUGAAAACUCCCCUGCAGAGUUAAAGAUACAUUCAAAAGGACUAAUCAGAAAGUAUAGUAUCACCCAGAAACUAACAAAAUGAAAAUAAAUGUCUUAGUAGCUUAGUCUUGAGGAUCUUUGGGUUACAAAAGUGAAAAAGCCAUCAGCAAACAAAAUAGCACCCACAAAGUAUAUUUAAUUUACAUUUUUUAGAGGAGAAAACUUUCAAAUAUCAGGAUUGCUCCAGCAAAUCUGCUGUUUCUACUUUGUACACCAUGAAGGUUUCUGCCAAGCAGGGCUUUGAAAAUGUUUCAACCCUGAGAAAAAGGUCUUUAAUUCUUCCAAAACCAUUUAAUAUUUGUCCUGGAUUUUGAAAAAGUUGUAUUUCUUUAUAUGUUUAUUUAUGGAGCUGGGGAUCAAACCCAGGGCCUUGCACAUGCUAGGCAGGCACCCUACCACUGAGCUACACCUUCAGGCCUGUCCUGGGUGUUUUUGUAACAAGAGAAGGUGUUAGGCAGCCUUGAGUUCCCCCACAGACUCGGGGAGCGGAAGAGGGGAUAAGCCAAGGACUGAGCACUCAGCUCCUAAAAUGGGCUUUCUGCUGUUCAGUGAGGAGGGCCUAGCCUAGGUCAGCAGUAUUUACUUAGGUACCUGAUCCCACAGCUUUCCUCAGUGUAUCAAAGAGAAGGCCUGCAGGUGAGGGGGUUGGACUUGAGGGGGGAGAGAGAGACCAAAAGACAGAGAUCAGUUAUUUCUCCCCCUUUGUUCCUAGGCCUUGAACUGGGGCUUCAAGGAGGGGAAUAAAAGCCCCCCAGGGAAUGAAGCCUCCACUUCCACUUGUAUCACCCUGACACCCCCUGCUAGAAAACCCAAGUGCUAGAAGAUUUGGGGCGAAAUGGUAACUUGAGGCAUCCCCAUGUGAGUGCGUUACAUAACACACAGAACCCUCUGCUGGGAGAGAUGCACACACCUGAUUGUCUCCAAAUGACCAUGUGCAGGCGGAGAGGUCUGGGAGGGACGCAUGAAGACAAAUCAAAGAAGAAGACUGUGAGGCCAUGUAUGAUAUGCACAUGUAAGUUGGUGUGCAUAGGAACAGUUACAUUUCCACUUUCUGGUGGGUCAGAGCAUCCUCCAGAGAGCCUGCCUGCCUAGAGUUUACCUUGGGUAAGAAAGAGACAUCCUUAAUAUGGGGACUGGGUGGAAGCCACUGGACUCAAGAGCACUGGGACCUGGUGCCCUGUGGCCAGUACAAGCCAGGUUAGUAUAAAGCUGUGUCAUCCUCAACCAGCUCUUUCUGUCAAAUCCUGGCCCUGGGAGGGCAGUUUACUCCCUCCCGGGUUCGCCCAGCGAUGCCCACCCCAAUCACCUCUGCGGUGGCAAGAAGAGCUACUCAUUCACCAGCAUCAGGGUUGUGCUGGCCUGCCGCAGCCCGAGGUCACAUUCAGAGAGCCGGUUCUUCCGGGGAAGGCUGGCCUCAAAGGCACAGGCGGUGCCGAUGGUGUUUAUCUACCCCAGGCAUGAAGGACAGAUGGGAAGCAAGGGACGAGCCUUUUGGCAGGGGGGGAUGUAGAAGGGGGGCAGUUGUUCAGGGCAGAUCCCCUGCGUCGGGCCCUUUCCGCAGCGGGCUGGGAGGGAGGAACCGAGGGGCCGAGAGGGGGAGCAGUUGAAGGCGCACACGCUGACAAAGCUGUAACAAAGGCUUCGUGCAAAACUACCACCAAGGAUCUCUGAAGAUGGCACACCUUGUACACGCAUCCCGGCCCCCAGGGUGUGAGGCUGGCUGCCGGGCCUCUCGACCUGGGUCCCCCGCAGGUCCCCGCAGGUCUCCACCGAGCUCGAGUGGGUGGCUGGGCCUGAGCCCUCAGGGCUUUGUCGAUGGCCACCCCCACCCCCGCACCGCCCGGGUGGCUCAGUGAGGCGAUGGCCUGGUUGGGCAGCUUGCCUCGCCCUUGGUUGGCCCCGGGAAAGUCGUCGCGGACUGCAAUCUGGCCUGGAGAUGCAGGCCUUCCUGCUGGGCGAGAGGAAGAGGGCUGGAGCAGCAGGGAGCUGGCGGGGUUGGCAGGGUAUCUGCAUCACCCCUGGCGCGCCAGCUAGGUGGGCACUGCCCAGCGGUUCAGCUCGCGCGCACUCUGUCCUGGACUCCCUCCCCAGGUUUCUCCUGCCCCGCUACCACACUCUCCACACCCCCACUGGAUUCUGGCUGUGACCCUGAGCCCUUGCGCAGCCCAGGCGUUCAACUACGCGGUAGGAAUUAGCGGGUAGAAAAGGGCCCUUUAGCACUGGGAGACCCUCAGGGUUUAAAUCCUCGUGAUUGGUGAAUUGGCGAAUAAAAGAAAAAGAAGGGGGGAAAAACACCCUAUAGGACCAGUAACUUGGCCCCACUCCCCCACUGGAUUCUGAAGCUCCUCCUGCGGCUCACACACUCCCCUUGGUGCUGAUGGAAGGCGAUUGCUCCCGGGACCUGUGGGCCCAGGACUGGGGCUCAGCGGAGGACAGGUGAGCAGUAAGCAGCUCAGAGUCCAAAUUCAGAAUUAGAAGCAGGUGCAGGAAUCCAUCAGGCAUAGGUGUUCCUCCCCCAGUGACAAAGUGGGUGGUGAGGAAGCAACUUUGGGAAGCAGUUGGAUGUGAGUGUAAAAUAUGAUCGGUAGCUGUUCCUCUACUUUACAGUGUCCCCUUGAUUUAAUUCAACCCAGUGGAAGGCCAUAGGUAUGGCUACAGGCCUCAGCUCACUUGUGGGCACCCACCCUCCAAGCUCUCUGAACUGCUGAGGGCCAAGGGUCAGACUUCUUCAAGCCCUCAGGCCGGGCCUCUAGACACCUCCCUGAUGGUCCCUCACCUCCCGCUGGCCUGGGCUGGGCUGGGCCUCCCACCUCACAAAUGACCCUGCCACCCCUGCUAGAAAUUCCAGCUAGUCAGUCCGGCUUGGCGGACAGAUUUGGGAAGCCAUGAGUGACAUGGUCUCCUACCCCUGGUUACAUACAAGUGCAAAUGAGAUGCAUUUUGGCUGAUCACAGACCACUGUAUUUUAUGGAACUUACUGUGUUUGUGUCUUGUUAAUUCAGGAAGAAUAGCAGAAACCAUUUUUUGAAGAUUUUAUGUGUGUGGUUUCCAAGUACGAUUCCAUACAAGGAGCUGGGUGAGAGUGGGAACAGGGAGAUGUGCUGACAUGAACAACAUUAUAUAAACCCUCCUAAAUGCAACUUUAAGCCACAAAGAAGAAAGGGAAAAGAGUGGAGUAGGUUAUGGAUGCUGACAGGAGACUGUGAUGAAAUUGGGUGGAUUCUUGCUGGGAAGAGUUUAAAGCUGUAAAAUUUCCUUUUAGGAAACAAACUCAUUUGCAUUUUCUUGGGUUGCUGAGGAUAGAUCAACCUCUUUCUCUCUGUUUACCUGACAUCCUGAAAAAUGUGUAAGGGCCACCCAGCAGGGGGUGACUGGGAUGCUAAGGUGCACGGGCUUUCUGACACCAUGGGGGCCCUAUCUAGGAGCAGAGUUUUGCUCUCCUCUUUAUAUGUCGAUUUUCAAAUAAGUUGUAAGUGGAAGAAACCUGCCUCCAACUCCCCCCAGAUUCCCGAGCCAUGUGUCCCGAGAAAGCAGGUCUUCAGACCUGAGUGAUAUGGACCUUCUAAGGAUAUGCUAGCUCGUGGCAGGGUUUAAGGAACAGAACAACCUCUAGUAUUCUGCAGUUUUCCUGGGCACUUUGGGAUAUCUCUGGUCUUUCUUUGAAUACAGCCAGACUGGUCCACAGGGACAAUAUGCUUAGGGCCAGCUUCCCCCUCCAUCCUUCCCCAUCUAAGGGGAUUUAUUGCCUCAGGUUUGUCUACUCCUAAUCCAGGGAAGAACAACCAACUAGUUUCAUCCUGUUUCCAAGCCAUUCCUCACCCCACCCCAGACUUAGUGGUGAGCAGGCCCUAAACUGGAGUUGUUGACAGGAAGUUCUUGCUGGAAGCUAUGAGAACCCUGUCCCGGUCUCUUGCCUCCUUUUUUCUGAGAUCCUCAGGUUCAACAGUAAAUUUAUUCUCAGGGUGCCCCUGGGUACUUAGGCACAGAAGGGAAUUUACUGUUAACAUGAAGCUUUCUGGUUAAGAUCUGCUUUUAGGGUCAGCUGCUCAAUAGAAGGGAUAUUAGUUUUGCUUUCAGGGCUCAGAGUACACGUAGAUUGCCAACAACCUGGAUCAGGCCAAAGAGAUUUGUUCCUUGGGAACCACUGAAGAUCGAAUACCCCGGUCCCAUCUCAUCCCAAUGAGUUUUUGUGCCCAUUGGAGUUUUCAAGGUAAUCCCCUGCCAUCCCAUUACCUGCAGUGGAUCUCUUCCUUCCCUGCAUUAUUUAUACUGGCUGAUCUUAGGUGUGGUAUGCCCCAGUCAGAGCAAUGAACUCUAAGUAGACAUGAAGAGAAGGCUGUGUGUAUCACAUCAAGGGGAAGGGGCCAUCCUAUCUUCUCAAACUGUCAAAACUUUUAUGGCUUCUGAGCUGUGGACUGUGUUCAUCUCAAGCAGCUCAGGUUUCUGCCAGGCAGCCUGGGCAUUUCCAUACCAGCCUGGCAAAUAUAUCAAACCCAGAUGUGUACAAUUGCUAUGAAGGUCCACCCAGGAGCUGAGGUACUGGGCAGAUGUCCUGAGCAAGAUGGUAUUGAGGUACAGUGCCCCAAACACGUCCAGUGUCCUGGAAGAGGUGACCUACAUCAAGAUGAUUUGCUGGCCCCUCCAACUGCCCGGUGUUUAGCCUGCCUGCUUCUGGGUGGCAGAGGAGCUCCUACAAGAUUCCCCCUUUUUUCUUGUUGUGAACUCCACCAGCAGUCUCCUCCUCCCCUCGAGGAGCUGAGCAUGGACUUCCAUUUGGGAUAACAAGAGAUUGUCCACAAAGAGCAAAAUGCAGUAGCAAAUCCUCUUUAUUAAUAAAUAAACCCAGCCACACAGUCACCUUUAAAUUGAUAAACUAUUCUCAAUAACCUUUUCUUUUUCAGUCACUUGGCUUACGACACAACAAAGCCAUUUCAACACACCAGCAAAAAAGAAAAAUAAAAAGGUAGACCACAUUUCUUAUUUCUGUCUUGCUCUUUUUGCAUUCAGCAUCCUUCACUUCCUUACCUCCCAGCAUUCCCUAUGGCCAUUACCCCAUCUGAAGAGUUAAAACAUUUAUUCUUUACAAUCUUCUAGGGUUUUCAGCAAUAACGGACUAAUUGGACAGAGAACACACACACACCCUACCCCAGGUUCACAUCCAAACCAAGUAUAUUGUAACUACCAUCAUGAAUUACACUUUGCAUAACCUGAAAGGGCCAGAAAGGAAGACAUCAUUAUUUACCAAACUUUACUGGGAGAAAUAAAUUGAACAUCGUCCAUGGAUACCUACUGGCAAACUUGAAACGUGUAAUCUCUGGUCUUCUUACUUUUUUUUUUUUUCUUUUUGUGAGGAAAGAGUGAUGUAAAAAUCUUAGGUAGCAGAAUUUUAAAACAGCUUGAUUACCUUGACUCGGUUUGGAGUCUUCAAUUCCAAUCAUUAGUAAUAAAGUCAUUUAUAGUCA